UACGAAGGGGGCUAGCGUUGCUCGGAAUUACUGGGCGUAAAGGGCGCGUAGGCGGCACUGUUAGUCAGGCGUGAAAUUCCUGGGCUCAACCUGGGGACUGCGCUUGAUACGGCAGAGCUUGAGGAUGGAAGAGGGUCGCGGAAUUCCCAGUGUAGAGGUGAAAUUCGUAGAGAUCGGGAAGAACACCGGUGGCGAAAGCGCUCUGCUGGACCACAACUGACACUCACAGGACGAAAGCUAGGGGAGCGAAUGGG
rnacentral:rRNA from 1 species